CCUGCAUCAUUUUUUCAAAGCAGCGGUGGAAUGGAACUAAGUACAUCUACUCCAGUACUGCACUUUAGUCCAAAUGUUGAG